AGGGUUUGAUCAUGGCUCAGGAUGAACGCUGGCGGUAUGCCUAAUACAUGCAAGUCGAACGAACUAGCCUUGAACUUAAGAAGUGCUUGCACGGACUAAGGGAAAGAAUUUCUAGUUAGUGGCGGACGGGUGAGUAACACGUAGGUAAUCUACCUUUAAGACUGGGACAACUGUUGGAAACGACAGCUAAUACUGGAUAAGAUUAUAGUCAAAAGACGAAUAAUUGAAAGUUGUGUAUGCAACACUAAAAGAUGAGCCUGCGGUGCAUUAGCUAGUUGGUGAGGUAAAGGCUCACAAAGGCGACGAUGCAUAGUCGGACUGAGAGGUUGAACGGCCACACUGGGACUGAGACACGGCCCAGACUCCUACGGGAGGCAGCAGUAGGGAAUUUUUCGCAAUGGAGGAAACUCUGACGGAGCAAUACCGCGUGUGGGAAGAAGAUUUUCGGAUUGUAAACCACUGUUGUAAGGGAAGAAUGUUGUUAGUAGGAAAUGGCUAACAAGUGACGGUACCUUACCAGAAAGGGACGGCUAACUACGUGCCAGCAGCCGCGGUAAU
rnacentral:rRNA from 1 species